GCCACCCUAGCUCAGUUGGUAGAGCAGCUGAUUCGUAAUCAGCAGGUCGCCGGUUCGAAUCCGGCGGGUGGCU
rnacentral:tRNA from 1 species